UUUGUCUGUAUGGCAAAUGUGAGAUGCAGUGUAUGGAAUGUCAAAUUUCUAGUAUGAGAAAUUAACGAUUUAAGUCCUUCUUAAAUGAGGCCAUUUACCCGUAGAGGGUGCCAGGCCCGUAUAACGUUAAUGAUUACUAGAUGGCAUUUCCAAAGAGUCGUGUUGCUUGAUAGUGCAGCACUAAGCUGGUGGUAAACUCCAUCUAAAACUAAAUAUAACCAUGAGACCGAUAGUAAACAAGUACCGUGAGGGAAAGUUGAAAAGAACUCUGAAUAGAGAGUUAAAUAGUACGUGAAACUGCUUAGAGGUUAAGCCCGAUGAACCUGAAUAUCCUUAUAGAAAAUUCAUCAUUAUGAUUAUAAUAUAUAUUAAAAUAAUGGUGUGCAUUUUUUCUAUAAGGACAUUGUAAUCUAUUAACAAUUUAUCAUAAAAUCAAGUUUAUUCGAAUUAUUUUGCUCAAUUUAACAUAGAAUAAAUGCUUUUGAUUUGAUAAAGUGUUGAUAGAUAUAGUGCUUAAAUUUUAUAAUAGUAUGUAUUAUAUGCACUUAUAUGAUUAACAAUGCGAAAGAUUCAGGAUACCUUCGGGACCCGUCUUGAAACACGGACCAAGGAGUCUAACAUAUUUGCAAGUUAUUGGGAAAAUAGCGAAAUUAACAUAACUUGGGAUUAGUUUUUUAAUUCAAUCCCGGGGCGUUCUAUAAGUUAUGUAUAAUAAUAUUAUAUUAUUUAUACCUCUAACUAGAGCGUACCUUGAGCAUAUAUGCUGUGACCCGAAAGAUGGUGAACUAUACUUGAUCAGGUUGAAGUCAGGGGAAACCCUGAUGGAAGACCGAAACAGUUCUGACGUGCAAAUCGAUUGUCAGAAUUGAGUAUAG
rnacentral:rRNA from 1 species